rnacentral:rRNA from 1 species
CCCUUAGAUGUUCGGGGCCGCACGCGCGCUACACUGAAGGUUACAGAGGGUCGAGUCCUUGGCAGAGAUGCCCGGGCAACCCGUGCAGAACGGCUUUCGUGCUAGGGACUGGGGCUUGCAAUUCUUGCCCAUGAACGAGGAAUUCCCAGUAAGCGCGAGUCAUCAGCUCGUGUUGAUUACGUCCCUGCCCUUUGUACACACCGCCCGUCGCUACUACCGAUUGAACGGUUUAGUGAGGCCCUCGGACGUGCCCCGGGCUGGCGGGACACCGCCGGUCGCUGGUUGUUGCGCCGAAGACGGUCGAACUUGAUCAUUUAGAGGAAGUAAAAGUCGUAACA